UACGGGGGGGGCAAGCGUUGUUCGGAAUUACUGGGCGUAAAGGGCUCGUAGGCGGCCAACUAAGUCAUACGUGAAAUCCCUCGGCUUAACCCGGAAACUGCCGUUGAUACUAUUUGUCUUGAAUAUUGUGGAGGUAAGCGGAAUAUGUCAUGUAGCGGUGAAAUGCUUAGAUAUGACAUAGAACACCAAUUGCGAAGGCAGCUUACUACACAAUGAUUGACGCUGAGGCACGAAAGCGUGGGGAUCAAACAGG
rnacentral:rRNA from 1 species